AUUGAACGCUGGCGGCAGGCCUAACACAUGCAAGUCGAACGGUAACAGGAAGCAGCUUGCUGCUUUGCUGACGAGUGGCGGACGGGUGAGUAAUGUCUGGGAAACUGCCUGAUGGAGGGGGAUAACUACUGGAAACGGUAGCUAAUACCGCAUAACGUCGCAAGACCAAAGAGGGGGACCUUCGGGCCUCUAGCCAUCGGAUGUGCCCAGAUGGGAUUAGCUAGUAGGUGGGGUAACGGCUCACCUAGGCGACGAUCCCUAGCUGGUCUGAGAGGAUGACCAGCCACACUGGAACUGAGACACGGUCCAGACUCCUACGGGAGGCAGCAGUGGGGAAUAUUGCACAAUGGGCGCAAGCCUGAUGCAGCCAUGCCGCGUGUAUGAAGAAGGCCUUCGGGUUGUAAAGUACUUUCAGCGGGGAGGAAGGGAGUAAAGUUAAUACCUUUGCUCAUUGACGUUACCCGCAGAAGAAGCACCGGCUAACUCCGUG
rnacentral:rRNA from 1 species